GGGAACCGCUGCUAAUACCGGAUGUGCCUACGGGUAAAAGAUUAAUUGUCUGAAGAUGAGCUCGCGUCCGAUUAGCUAGUUGGCAGGGUAAGAGCCUACCAAGGCGGCGAUCGGUAGCUGGUCUGAGAGGACGAUCAGCCACACUGGGACUGAGACACGGCCCAGACUCCUACGGGAGGCAGCAGUGGGAAUUUUUCCGCAAUGGGCGAAAGCCUGACGGAGCAAUACCGCGUGAGGGAGGAAGGCUCUUGGGUUGUAAACCUCUUUUCUCAAGGAAGAAGCAAUGACGGUACUUGAGGAAUCAGCAUCGGCUAACUCCGUGCCAGCAGCCGCGGUAAUACGGAGGAUGCAAGCGUUAUCCGGAAUGAUUGGGCGUAAAGCGUCCGCAGGUGGCGAUGCCAGUCUGCUGUCAAAGGCUGGGGCUUAACUCCAGACAGGCAGUGGAAACUGCAUAAGCUAGAGUGCGGUAGGGGCAGAGGGAAUUCCCGGUGUAGCGGUGAAAUGCGUAGAGAUCGGGAAGAACACCAGUGGCGAAAGCGCUCUGCUGGACCUGCACUGACACUCAGGGACGAAAGCUAGGGGAGCG
rnacentral:rRNA from 1 species